rnacentral:rRNA from 1 species
AGCAGCCGCGGUAAUUCCAGCUCCAAUAGCGUAUAUUAAAGUUGUUGCAGUUAAAAAGCUCGUAGUUGAAUUUCGGGAUCAAUAUGUCGAUCGUGCCUUCGGUACGUACUGGCAUCAUUGAUUUCUCCCUUCUGACGAACCAUGAUGUCAUUAAUUUGGUGUCGUGGGGAGUCAGGACUGUUACUUUGAAAAAUUAGAGUGUUUAAAGCAGGCUCACGCUUGAAUACAUUAGCAUGGAAUAAUGAAAUAGGACGUUUGACCCUAUUUUGUUGGUUUCUAGGAUCAACGUAAUGAUUAAUAGGGAUAGUUGGGGGCAUUAGCAUUCAAUUGUCAGAGGUGAAAUUCUUGGAUUUAUUGAAGACUAACUACUGCGAAAGCAUUUGCCAAGGAUGUUUUCAUUAAUCAAGAACGAAAGUUAGGGGAUCGAAGACGAUCAGAUACCGUCGUAGUCUUAACCAUAAACUAUGCCGACUAGGGAUCGGAUGAUGUUAAUUUUUAAUGA